UACGGGGGGGGGCAAGCGUUGUUCGGAAUUACUGGGCGUAAAGGGCUCGUAGGCGGCCAACUAAGUCAGACGUGAAAUCCCUCGGCUUAACCGGGGAACUGCGUCUGAUACUGGAUGGCUUGAGAUUGGGAGAGGGAUGCGGAAUUCCAGGUGUAGCGGUGAAAUGCGCAGAUAUCAGGAGGAACACCGGUGGCGAAGGCGGAUCUCUGGGCCUGUCCUGACGCUCAGGCGCGAAAGCUAGGGGAGCAAACAGG
rnacentral:rRNA from 1 species